rnacentral:rRNA from 1 species
GAUGAACGCUGGCGGCGUGCCUAACACAUGCAAGUCGAACGAUUAAGGCGCCUUCGGGCGCGAAUAGAGUGGCGAACGGGUGAGUAACACGUGACCAACCUGCCCCCCUCCCCGGGAUAACGCGAGGAGACCCGCGCUAAUACCGGAUACUCCGCCCCUCCCGCAUGGGAGGGGCGGGAAAGCCCCGACGGAGGGGGAUGGGGUCGCGGCCCAUUAGGUAGACGGCGGGGCAACGGCCCACCGUGCCUGCGAUGGGUAGCCGGGUUGAGAGACCGACCGGCCACAUUGGGACUGAGAUACGGCCCAGACUCCUACGGGAGGCAGCAGUGGGGAAUUUUGCGCAAUGGGGGGAACCCUGACGCAGCAACGCCGCGUGCGGGACGAAGGCCUUCGGGUUGUAAACCGCUU